rnacentral:misc_RNA from 1 species
CACCACUCAAGCCUCGCUUGGUCUUGGGCGCCGCGGUCCGCCGCGCGCCCCAAUGUCUCCGGCUGGGCCGUCCGUCUCUAAGCGUUGUGAUAAACGAUCCGCUUGCGAGGCCGGGCUGGCUUGAUCGCCGUUAACCCCCCCAUUUUAUCA